UACGUAGGCAGCAAGCGUUGUUCGGAGUUACUGGGCGUAAAGGGUGUGUAGGCGGUUGUUUAAGUUUGGUGUGAAAUCUCCCGGCUCAACCGGGAGGGUGCGCCGAAUACUGAAUGACUAGAGUGCGGGAGAGGAAAGUGGAAUUCCUGGUGUAGCGGUGAAAUGCGUAGAUAUCAGGAGGAACACCGGUGGUGUAGACGGCUUUCUGAACCGUAACUGACGCUGAGACACGAAAGCGUGGGUAGCAAACAGG
rnacentral:rRNA from 1 species